rnacentral:lncRNA from 1 species
UUUGGAUAGCAUCAGUACUAGCCUCUCUCACUUGAUUUUGAUAUGGGUCUUUAAGAAUCUUACCACUUUUAAGUUCAGUAAUUAUAUUGGCAUUCUCAAAUUGGAGAUUCUUAAGUGGGACAUUAGACUGAUGACUAGGUCCAGGUGGUUGGUGGGUGGAUGGGUUGUUCCUGAGAUUUAGUAUCGGUUAGCUAGGCAAUUGACCUGAUUCUCUCCUCAUGGUA